GCGGGUAUGGCGGAACUGGUAGACGCGCAAGACUUAGGAUCUUGUGUCGAGAGGCGUGCAGAUUCGACUUCUGUUACCCGCACCA
rnacentral:tRNA from 1 species